rnacentral:rRNA from 1 species
UACGAAGGGGGGCGAGCGUUGUUCGGAUUUACUGGGCGUAAAGGGCGCGCAGGCGGCGCAUUUUGUCAGGCGUGAAAGCCCCGGGCUUAACCUGGGAACUGCAUCCGAUACUGGAUGGCUUGAAUUCGGGAGAGGGAUGCAGAAUUCCAGGUGUAGCGGUGAAAUGCGUAGAUAUCUGGAGGAAUACCGGUGGCGAAGGCGGCAUCCUGGACCGACAUUGACGCUGAACGGCGAAAGCUAGGGGAGCAAACGGG